UACGGAGGGGGCGAGGGUUACCCGGAUUUACUGGGUGUAAAGGGCGUGUAGGCGGUCUCUCAAGUCCGAUGCUAAAGACCGAAGCUCAACUUCGGGGGUGCGUUGGAUACUGUGAGGCUAGACGGUCGGAGAGGGUAGCGGAAUUUCCGGAGUAGCGGUGAAAUGCGCAGAUACCGGAAGGAACGCCAAUAGCGAAGGCAGCUACCUGGACGAUUUGUGACGCUGAGGCGCGAGAGCGUGGGGAGCAAACCGG
rnacentral:rRNA from 1 species